rnacentral:rRNA from 1 species
GACGAACGCUGGCGGCGUGCCUAAUACAUGCAAGUCGAACGCAGUGGGGACGGGUGAGUACCACGUGGGUAACCUCCCAUCAGAGGGGAUAACACUUGGAAACAGGUGCUAAACCGAUACUGAUGGAUGGACCCGCGGUGCCUUAGCUAGUUGGUGAGGUAACGGCUCACCAAGGCCACGAUGCAUAGCCGACCUGAGAGGGUAGUCGGCCACACUGGGACUGAGACACGGCCCGGACACCUACGGGAGGCAGCGGUAGAGAAUCUUCGGCAAUGGACGAAAGUCUGACCGAGCAACGCCGCGUGAGUGAAGAGGGUUUUCGGAUCGUAAAACUCUGUAGUUAGAGAAGCGGUAUCUAACCAGAAAGCCACGGCUAACUGCGUGCCAGCAGCCGAGGUAAUUC